GUAGGUGAACCUGCGGAAGGAUCAUUAACACGUAUCCAACGUUAAACCCCCCUGUGAACUUUCAGCCUGCUCUUGUAGCUUUGUUAAUGGUAGCAGCAAUCUCGGUAAAUCAAGUGGAGAAACAGUUCUGAUUCGAGACCUCUGCACCUAUGGGUUAUGAUUGAAGCGGUAGAAGCAGUGGCAUGGCGUCCCAAGCCUCCAGUGAAUGACAGCGUCACUGGAACAAGUGAGGGAUAACGCUUAUUCGGUUGCUAGAGGUCGCUCACCGACCGGCAGACAUGUCACAGGCCUUGCGCCCCCUAACCACCCCUUUGCCAAUGCACUAGCCCGGGGCGAAAGUCCGAGGCAUUAAAACCGAACAACUGUUAACAAUGGAUAUCUUGGUUCUC
rnacentral:misc_RNA from 1 species